rnacentral:sRNA from 1 species
CCAGAAUGGUACUUGGCUCAAGUACUUAUGUGGAUUGGAAACCAUACUGAAUUUCUGGAUGAGAAGAUUCAGCCAAUAUUAGACAAAGUAGGCUCUUUGGUAAAUGCAAGGCUUGAAUUUUCUCGGGGCCUUAUGAUGCUGGUUCUUGAGAAGUUAGCCACUGAUAUUCCUUGUCUGCUGUAUGAUGACAAUCUCUUCUGUCAUUUGGUGGAUGAAGUACUCUUGUUUGAAAGGGAGCUACACAGUGUUCAUGGCUAUCCUGGCACUUUUGCUAGUUGUAUGCAUAUUCUAUCAGAGGAAACCUGUUUUCAGAGAUGGUUGACGGUGGAGAGAAAAUUUGCUCUUCAAAAAAUGGACUCAAUGCUUUCCUCAGAAGCUGCCUGGGUAUCGCAAUAUAAGGAUAUCACUGACGUGGAUGAAAUGAAAGUUCCAGAUUGUGCAGAAACUUUUAUGACUUUGCUCUUGGUUAUAACUGACAGGUAUAAAAAUCUUCCCACAGCUUCCCGAAAGCUGCAGUUCCUGGAGUUACAGAAGGACUUAGUAGAUGAUUUCAGGAUACGAUUAACACAGGUGAUGAAAGAAGAGACUAGAGCUUCCCUUGGCUUUCGAUACUGUGCAAUUCUUAAUGCUGUGAACUACAUCUCAACAGUACUAGCAGAUUGGGCUGACAAUGUUGUGAGUUAAUAUGCUUUUAUAUUAAGUAAUAUAUUACCAGUUCGGACUAUUUUAUUAAUACUUUUAAAAAUGUUGAAUCUAUUGCAAGCAAAAAUAAACAUGCUAGACAGAACCAUAGUGCCAUAAUUAGAAGGUGU